GAUGAACGCUGGCGGCGCGCCUAACACAUGCCAGUCGAACGAUUAAAGCACCUUCGGGUGUGUAUAAAGUGGCGAACGGCUGAGUAACACGUGGGCAACCUGCCCCUUUCAUUGGGAUAGCCACGGGAAACCGUGGAUAAUACCGAAUACUUCGAGACUUCCGCAUGGAAGACUCGAGAAGGCUCCGGCGGAGAGGGAUGGGCCCGCGGCCUGUUAGCUUGUUGGUGGGGUAACGGCCUACCAAGGCAAUGAUGGGUAGCUGGGUUGAGAGACCGACCAGCCAGAUUGGGACUGAGACACGGCCCAGACUCCUACGGGAGGCAGCAGUGGGGAAUCUUGCACAAUGGGCGAAAGCCUGAUGCAGCGACGCCGCGUGCGGGAUGAAGGCCUUCGGGUUGUAAACCGCUUUCAGCAGGGACGAGGCGAAAGUGACGGUACCUGCAGAAGAAGCCCCGGCUAACUACGUG
rnacentral:rRNA from 1 species